rnacentral:rRNA from 1 species
GACGAACGCUGGCGGCGUGCCUAACACAUGCAAGUCGAACGGGGUUGUUCCUUCGGGGACAACUUAGUGGCGAACGGGUGAGUAACGCGUGAGAAACCUGCCUCUCAGUGGGGGACAACAGUUGGAAACGACUGCUAAUACCGCAUAACACUUUAGUACCGCAUGGUGCAGAAGUCAAAGCUUUAUGUGCUGAGAGAUGGUCUCGCGUCUGAUUAGCUAGUUGGUGAGGUAACGGCUCACCAAGGCGACGAUCAGUAGCCGGCCUGAGAGGGUGAACGGCCACAUUGGGACUGAGACACGGCCCAAACUCCUACGGGAGGCAGCAGUGGGGAAUAUUGCACAAUGGGGGAAACCCUGAUGCAGCGACGCCGCGUGAGUGAAGAAGUAUUUCGGUAUGUAAAGCUCUAUCAGCAAGGAAGAAAAUGACGGUACUUGACUAAGAAGCCCCGGCUAACUACGUG